rnacentral:miRNA from 1 species
UUGAAUGAUUGGUACCAGUCA